ACGUUAUGCUAAUAAAGGGAAUUGUGCAAUGGUUAGAAACGUUCUGGCUUUUACCCUCCACACGCUGCCCCUGCGCUCCAGCCCCUUAGGUUGCUUGCGCUUGUCUUGCCUUAUUUCAGCAGGAGUCAAAGACAUCCAGGGUUAAGGCGGAUGGAGAGAGGGGAACUGAAGUCAACUGGGCCCUUCUGUGCUCACCCUUUAAGGCAAAGACCCUGCCGUUUCAUUUGACUAUCAAAUAUCCUUUGUCUACCUGUUUAUUAUUCAGUAAGAGUCAAGAAGAGCUUUGUGAGAAAUCCUUCUUUUAUCUAAAAUUGGAAGCAUAAUUCAUUGGCUAAAUUGGAAAGGUGGGUUUGGGGAUUUUGGUUCUUUGCUUCCUUGCACUAUUGCAUGGGUCAGAGUUAGCCCAGAGCACAGGAGCCGAGGACAAGCGGUGACCAGGCUAGAGUGCUGGGUAGGGCCUUCCAGAGACUGACAGCUACAGCUGCAGGAAGUGGCCUUCUCUGCUCCACGCACCAUAAUCACCUCCCAAUGCUUCCUUCUGAUGUGGAUGUUUUAAAAGUUCUGAGUUCUCCUGUUUACAGCCUUGAGAGAAUCCAGAUAUAAUUCUUUAUAUGAGCUUCCCAUUUUUUAGUGUUUAAUAAUCUUUUUAUUAAUUAUCUCACUUUAUUAUAAUACUUUGGGGGUAUGGAAGGCACAUGUUUUUCCCAUUUUAGAGAUAAAAUAAUUGACAAAGUGGAGAAGUAACAUAACUAAGGUCACUGCUGCUACAGUAGUGAUACUACAUGCAUAUAGAUGCAGAUCAGCACACACCGACACAUACACACACACAUGGUAUAAAAUGCAAACAUGACAAUGUCACUCUGUCCCUACCAAAUAAUAAAAGGUAAAACCUGACAUCCAGAGAGUAAGCUCCUUUUGAGGGUGUGCCUGGCCCUCUGGCUUUCCCAGCCUGGCCUCACGUUGCAGAGAGGCCUCUCUCCCAGGCCAUCCCAUCAUUUUCUUACAUCUCAGCCGUACCCAGUGACACGUGGUUCCUCACACCAGGAGCUUCAUCACUCUCAUCCGUUUUUAGUUCCUGUGCCCUCUGCCUGAGCACCCUGCUUCCACUCUCAUGUCCCCCACUUGCCUGGCUUGGUGCCACGUGGUGUCCAGGCUUGGCUCAGGCUCUGGCCCCUCCAGGAAGCCUCUUCCGGCCAGACCCCACCACCCAGGUGGAGUCCAGUGCCAUCCCCAGCGCUUCCACAUCAGCCUGUCACCCGCCCCACUGUAUUUACAUGUCGUCUCAUAUGUUUAUGUUUCUGGUAGCUCAUGAGCUGUCAGCCAACAGGAGUGAGAGGUCACACUUCGUUCUCACAAUCUUCAUCCCCAGAGGUGGAAGGGCAUCUGCAAGGUGGGCUUGGUGAGAUUCCUCUUCCCUGUCCUUCUGUCUGAAUGUAUCCCAGACAAAGACUGGACUCACAGGGGACAGUCUGGUGACUGUCCUGUGUGCCGUUCAGGUGUGUGGCUACAUCCAGACCCAAGAUGAGGCCACAACUGCUGCCUCAUUCAUCACCCCACUGACCCCGGCCUCAGCACCACGCUCAGCUGACACUUGGAGAAGGAGCUUGAUUUCCAGAGCCUGUGCUGUCUGUCUCAUCCCUGUCUCAUUCGUCACUGAGCCAACACAGCCCCAGUGCAGAGGCAGGUUGUCAUGGGAGAACAAAUACAGGAUUCAGAAUCAGACACCCUUCUGGCAUUGACCCGCCGUGUGAUCUCAGGAAAUUCACCUAAACACUCUGGGCCUUCUUGUGUCUGCAUCAGUAAAACAAGUAGAGGUAGAUUCUACGUGAAGCUACUUUGAUAAUGAGAGAUUAUUUUGUAUAGUGCUUCGUACAUAAAGGAUAUGCAUAAAUAUUGGCCAUCCUUAGUAUGAACAAAUUUAAGUUUGCAAUCCAGUGAAUCAGAGGAUUAUUAAUAAUACAGCAAAAUGAUUUGUCAUUACUGAAGAAGUCAUUGUCUUAGUUCGGGGUGCUAUAACAGCAGGUGUAGGCUGGGUGACGUAAAUAACAGAAAUUAAUUUCUUGUAAUUCUGGAGACAGGGAAGUCCAAGGUCAAGGCUGGGCGGAUCUGGUGUCUGGUGAGGACCCACUUCCUGGUUUGCAGAUGGUUCUUUCCUAUUUGUGUCCUCACAUGGUGGAGACGCAGAAAGUUCAUUUCUCUCAUGGCUGUUCUUGUAAGGUCACCAAUGUCAUUCAUGAAGCUCUGUUCUCAUGACCUUAUUCCUCCCAAAGUCCUUACCUCUAAAUACCCAUUCCAUUGGGGAUUUCAGCUUCAACAUAUGAAUUUGGGGGGUUACAAACAUUCUGUCCCUAAUCACCAUCAAAUUGUUGCCUUAGGUAUUACAAUUUUCAAUAAAAAGGAUGAGAAUAUGUUUAAGGCAUGAGCAUUGAAAUCAAAGAAAUCCAUUAGCUGUUUGACCAAGCAUAUUCCUUUAUGUCUCUUAGCCUGGGCAUCUCAAGACCUGCCUUGCCGGAGUGUGGAUGUGAGGAUAGACUGGGAGAGGAGGGGUGGGGAGCUGGCUCUUAGGACGUGGUGGUUCUCAAAAUUUCUUUACCUGAAGCUGUCUUACAUCCGUCCUGUGACCAUGGGUCUCUGAUGGAUUGGAACCAGCUCGUUCUGACUCCCCGUGAGCCUCUACAGGGAGUGUAGACAAUUCAACAGAAACCCGCUGUCUGACCAGAUGUGACUCAAUACUGGACACCCAAAUGAGAAUGAGUAAGAAAUGUGGUACCAGGCCUGGGCAGCCUGCCCCUUUCCCAGGCCACAGGCCCCUCACCCACCAAGCGAAGGGCGGCAGACAGUUGCUCAGGUGGCUUCCAGCUCUGGCACUGAGUGAGUCUGACAUAUAGUCGAGCAAGUUGUCACUCAUAGACCAGGCAGUGCAAAAUCAUCCUCAUUAAUCUGCUUGAAGUUCUGGUGCAAGAGAAGCCACUGGGUCUUGCCACAUCUAGAAUUAGCUCUGAGCCCUUGGGCUUUUAAUUAAAGGGCUUUGUGAGUCAGAGCGUUCAUGGUCAGGUUCAGGUCUUUGGGGAGACACAGAGGGAGGUCCUCUGUUCUGUCAUCUACUUGUUGAGAAAUCAGCUGCUUCUCCCAGCACCAGGACUCAGAGUCUGGAGUCUUGCAGGGGACUUCCAGGAAUGGCUUGUGGUUGAGCUACGCUCCCCACUUUCGCUGACUCCAGGCCCCCGAGGCUCGGGGACAGUAGGCAUGUUGCACGUCAUCGCUUUUUUCCUUGUGAGUGUCUGAGCCGGGCCAACCUAGUGAGAUUCUGGUGCGGUUCCCCCUGUAGCCACAAUGCCAGUGGUGUUUCUUACCCAAUGCUGUUUCCUCUUUGGGUGGUUUGUGCUAAAUGCAUUUUCAAUCCCAAGUGGUACAGAGAAUAAAAGGAUUGUCUAAAAAAAAAGUGGCUUUAGAUGUGUUGAAAGCAAGCUUGCCUGCUGCGUGUUUUUAACAAUUGCCUCCCUAGAGGAGCCUUUGAAAACCUCACCUUUCAAGAUGUUUCAACUCCUAUUAGAAAGUGACUUAAAUAAAACUGCUCUUCUGACCAUUGCUGUUGUGGUUUCCAGGCUAGUGACUGUUUGUCUAGCCUGAGUCUCCAGGGCUGGAACUUCACACCAUUUCUCUCUUGCUACCCUCCCAGAGGAGGUGAAAUCACACUUGUCACAUUCUUCUACGUGGUGUCACUGGGCAGGGGGUUGGGAGGUGCACACGGUAGAGUGUGGGCUUGCUAGAGAGACUGCAUUAUGGUUUCAACUAGAUACAUUUCCUUUUCCCAUAAACUACUAGUAGGCACCUAUGGUGUGCCCAGUCCCACAUUAGGGCAAGAGCUCUAUCUUACACGUGCAUUGUCAACCUGUAGCAUACAUCAUGGCGUUCUGCACCUUCCAGGGUUCUUGCGAGAUAACCCCAGUUUCUCUUAAUUUCCUUCUGGAUGCUUAUGGGUUCAAGGUACUUGAAUGGGUCUUUGUGUUUGGAUGCCUUUGCAUCAGGAUUUCUCAACCUCGGUGCUACUAACACAUUGGGCCAAGCAGGUCUCUGCUAUGGGGGUCUCUCCUGUGUGUGGUAGGAUGUUUAGCCACAUCCCUGGCUAGUAGCACCAGACACACCUCAGUUGUGACAACCAGAAAUGUCAGCAGACAUUGCCAAACGUCUCCUCACCACUUUACAUUUUCCAAAGUGCCCUCAUGUCCUUUACAGAUAAGGCCAGGAAGAAACUUGCCCAAGUCAAACAGUGAUUUGGGGACAGAGCUAUAGCUAUAAUUUAGAUCCAUUCAUUGAUGUGCUGGUAAAUAUUUAGUAAUUAAUUCUCUGGGAUAAACAAAAACAGAACAGACUUGAUUAGGAGCAGGUGCCAAUUUCUAUGGUGUAAAUACUCCCACCAUGGCUGGUUUCACACUGCUUCCGUGACUUGCCUGAAUGUGAAGUUGGGAAGAAAUACGUACAGUUGGCUCUGGUGAGCUGGUGCUCACUGGCUCCAGGGUCUCCCUGGGUUCCUGUGUGCUGCUGUUCACGUAGUAGUCUUACUCUCUUCUGGACCUUGUUCUUCCGCCUCCAAAUGUCUGUACUUGUCACUGUGAUGUUCUGUGGGGGGACCGUGAGCCUGGUAAGGGUGUUUGAUCACCUCUUUGGGUAAGCAUAGAGUGGAAUUUUCUCUCCUUUCUGUUAGAAAGUUUCUUCUCAUGACCUUUCCGUGGAAAGAGUUGUCGAAGGAGUGGGACAGCUCUGGCCUUAGUUAGAGUAGACCUUCGGGGAUUUCACCGUGGCUCUCGCGGACUGAUGAGCUCCUGAGCAGGGACUCAGCCUGAGCAUCAGACCUGUGGAGUGUGAGAUGCUUGGAAGACAUCAAAGUGACAAUGGCCAGUGGGCUGUUGGGUAUGCCAUUGUGGAUAACAUUCACAUUACAGAACCUUGGGCAGUGGUUGGUGUGACUGGAAGGCGGGUAGCCCCAGGGGAGGGUAGCAACAUGGUGUGGCAUUUGGAUUUGAUCACAAAGGCAGUGGGAGGUGCUUGAAGGGUUUUAAGGAGGGAAGACACGUCAUCAGAUCUGUGCUUUAGACAGUUCUGCAGGGUACAGGGCCCCGGCCCUGGCAGGAUGCAGCCAGUUAGGAGGGUGGUGCCACAGUCUAGUUGAAAAGGGAUGAGAUGGGUACAGUGAACACAAUGAACACUAUCUGGGUGAUGAGCACACUUAUAACCAUGACUCAAGCAUUAUAAAAGUGACCCAUGUAACCAAAAAUAUUUGUACCCCCGUAAUACUUUGAAAUUAAAAAAAGGGAUGAGGCAACCCCUGGGUGCUAACUGCUGAGUGGCACAGAUAGAAAGUGCUGUGAGUGUUAGCAAGGGAGAGGCCAGUGUGGACCACAGUGAAUAGCGGGAUACUGGAGAAGACUUCGUGGAGGACGAGAGACUGCUGGUGGCCUUGAGUGAUGGCAGAAAGAAGGGAGGUCAAAGUCUAGGCUGUGGGAUAGGGUGAGUGCACACAACACUGCAGUAAAUUACACUGGGCUUAAGCUGGGAGCUUAUGUAAAGGAUGGGUCUCAAUUAGUGUAUUCUCAUUUAUGGAGGGAGUCGAACCCUAGGCUUAGGAAUAUGGAUUUCGUUAGAAGCCGGUGGUUCUCACGUGGAAAGUACAUUUUUCUGUGUCCGUGUCUCUGGGGAUCUUGUCCUUAUUCAUUCCCCUGUCCACUGCCCCCGCUUCCCUUUCUCCCGUGACAAGCUGUGGGGUGCCUGAGGCCCUGAUGGGGGCCUGCAGCCCUGCAGCCCUGUGCCAUUGGGGAAGGCAGGGUCCCCUUGCAUUUUCAGGAUGAUUGCAACCUGAGUGCCGAUCACGUGACUCCUGCCUUUCCCGCAGCAGGGAGCCCAGCACGCACCGCAGCUGUGCUGCUCUGUGGAUCACUUGCCAGUGUUUCCCGGGGCCAAGGGUGACCGUUGUCUGCAUUGUAGAUAAGCCGGCUCCCAGCUGUCACAGCAGGGCCAGCUUUAGGACAGAGAAGCUGUGGGACUCCCGGAGGCCACAGUCCUAAUUUGGGGAGCCGGACGUGCCUUGGCCAGACAGAGGCUCAGCUGGUUCGUCCCAUCAGCCUGGAUUGGUGAAACUGAACCCUUAAGAGAUAUUUCCAGGUUUGCUGGGAUGGGAAACCUGCUCAAAGUCCUUACCAGAGAAAUUGAAAACUAUCCGCAUUUUUUCCUGGAUUUUGAAAGUAAGUGCCAAAAAUGAUAACAUAAUAAUGGAAACUUUUCACAUUCUUUAUAGCUUAUUGAUAAAGAAGUUAUAAACAUUUUAUAUGAUAUUUUAAACUAUAUCCAAAUGCCACUGUGCAUUUCUUUCUGAGAUUAUUUCUAAUGUCAUUUUACUUCUUUAUUUUUCUAUUGUUUUAGAAACAUAAUGGAAAAUAUUUUUAAUGUAUCUGUGGUUUUCUUUGAUUUUAGAAGUGAUCAGCUUUUGUAGGCCUAGCAUAAAUCAUCGUCAUGUAUUUUUUCUAA